GAUGGAGUUAAUUUUCCACAACCAAUAACUUUAGAUAAAGUCGGUCCAAGACAUCCAUAUGGUCCAACAUAUCUAAAUAAAGGAGUAAAACCAACCAUAGCUACAACAAGUUACACACCAGGCCCAUGUAAUACUGGAACUGUUGCACCAGAAACUAAUAUACCCAGAGGUUCUUAUUUACCUGAUGGUUCAAGUCCUAACACUCUUGUUACUAAUAUCACAAACGUUGGUUGCUGGUUGUUGGUGAACUCCUGUCCUGCAGAUUCAAAAAUACACGGCACCUUUAGAGAUACCUACGGUGAACAGCACGAGCAAGCAGCUACUGAUGAAGCUAGAUGUUUAGCAAGAGCUGCUGGAAUGUGGAGACAUUGUGGAUCAGCUAAAGAUAAACCUGUUACAGCUGUUUAUGGCCCAACGGGAGCUAUGACGUUUGGUGGAGAUGGUUGUUUUUUCGCUGAUUAUGGCUGCAAAAAUGAUAAUCGACCUCGCUUUGAACGCGACUAUUAUGCUGAGCAGCACGAGAAUGGGUCGACGAGUGAAGCAGGAUGCCUCCGUAGAGCUGCACCCCAGUGGAAAUACUGUGGAAGCCAACGUGAUAAACCUUACACCAGUAUCUACAGGCCAACAGGAGCUAUAAGCACUGGUGGUGCUGGAUGCUGGAUAAAGGUUACAAAAUGCCCGGCUGAUAAAACUGUUAAAUAUUAUUUCUAUGAUAGUUGGGGUUCUAGUAACUUAGAUACAGAUAAUGACGUAGAUGAAUGCCACAACAGGGCCGGAUAUUUUUGGAGAAGAUGUGGAUCCCAUCCUCAAUACCCAGUGAGAGCUUUCUACAGACCAACAGCCUCACACGU